GGAGGGAGCGAGCGUUGUUCGGAAUCACUGGGCGUAAAGGGCGCGUAGGCGGCCGAGUAAGUCGUGUGUGAAAGACCGGGGCUCAACUCCGUGUACUGCAUGCGAUACUGCCCGGCUAGAGUAAGGUAGAGGCGAGUGGAAUUCCCGGUGUAGCGGUGGAAUGCGUAGAUAUCGGGAAGAACACCUGUGGCGAAGGCGGCUCGCUGGGCCUUUUCUGACGCUGAAGUGCGAAAGCGUGGGUAGCAAACAGGAUUAGAUACCCUGGUAGUCCACGCCGUAAACGAUGGGCACUAGGCGUUGGGAGGAUUGACCCUCUCAGUGCCGUAGCUAACGCGUUAAGUGCCCCCGCCUGGGGAUACGGCCGCAAGGCUG
rnacentral:rRNA from 1 species